CUUUGCCCAGGCAGGCCAGAGAUUGCAUUAAAGUUGGAACUAUACAGAGAAAAUUAACAUGGCUCCUAUGCAAAGAUAACAAUUCAUAAACUAUUUUUUAGUUUUU
ensembl:snRNA U6 U6 spliceosomal RNA